GACGAACGCUGGCGGCGUGCCUAAUACAUGCAAGUAGAACGCAGUUGCGCACGGGUGAGUAACGCGUAGGUAACUGCCUCAUAGCGGGGGAUAACUAUUGGAAACGAUAGCUAAUACCGCAUACUGUGAGAUGGACCUGCGUUGUAUUAGCUAGUUGGUGGGGUAAAGGCUCACCAAGGCGACGAUACAUAGCCGACCUGAGAGGUGGAGCGGCCACAGUGGGACUGAGACACGGCCCAGACUCCUACGGGAGGCAGCAGGGGGGAAUCUUCCGCAAGGGACGAAAGUCUGACCGAGCAACGCCGCGUGAGUGAGGAAGGUUUUCGGGUCGUAAAGCUCUGUUAAUAGGGAGGCGGUAACUAACAAGAAAGGAACGGCUAACUACGUGCCAGCCGCCGCGGUAAUAC
rnacentral:rRNA from 1 species